UACGUAGGGUGCAAGCGUUAAUCGGAAUUACUGGGCGUAAAGCGUGCGCAGGCGGUUAUGUAAGACAGAUGUGAAAUGCCCGGGCUUAACCUGGGAACUGCAUUUGUGACUGCAUGGCUAGAGUUUGGCAGAGGGGGGUAGAAUUCCACGUGUAGCAGUGAAAUGCGUAGAGAUGCGGAGGAACACCGAUGGCGAAGGCAGCCCCCC
rnacentral:rRNA from 1 species